rnacentral:rRNA from 1 species
UACGAAGGGGGCUAGCGUUGUUCGGAAUUACUGGGCGUAAAGCGUAUGCAGGCGGACUUUUAAGUCGAACGUGAAAUCCCCGGGCUCAACCCGGGAACUGCGUCCGAUACUGGAAGGCUUGAAUUCGGGAGAGGGAUGCGGAAUUCCAGGUGUAGCGGUGAAAUGCGUAGAUAUCUGGAGGAACACCGGUGGCGAAGGCGGCAUCCUGGACCACGACUGACACUGAGGAGCGAAAGCCAGGGGAGCAAACGGG